rnacentral:misc_RNA from 1 species
GAUGAAGAACGUAGCGAAAUGCGAUAAGUAAUGUGAAUUGCAGAAUUCAGUGAAUCAUCGAAUCUUUGAACGCACAUUGCGCCCCUUGGUAUUCCGAGGGGCAUGCCCGUUCGAGCGUCAUAUUAACCACUCCCGCUUGCGGGGUCUUGGGCUUCGCCUCCGGGCGGGCCUUAAAAUCAGUGGCGGUGCCGUCGGGCUCUACGCGUAGUAAAUUUUCUCGCGAUAGGGUCCCGGUGGAUGCUCGCCAACAACCCCCAACUUCUUAAGGUUGACCUCGGAUCAGGUAGGGAUACCCGCUGAACUUAAGCAUAUCAAUAAGCGGAGGA